rnacentral:rRNA from 1 species
AUUUAAGCAUAUAAUUAAGCGGAGGAAAAGAAACUAACUAGGAUUCCCUCAGUAAGGGCGACUGAAGCGGGAAGAGCUCAGGAUGUGAAUCUGUGUUUCCCUGUUGGAACACCGAAUUGUGGUCUGUAGACUGUGACGUUAUCCUUCCGGGCCAAGUCCCUUGGAAAAGGGCAGCAUAGAGGGUGACACUCCCGUGGGCCUGGUGGAAUGAGUUACAUGUCGACGAGUCGAGUUGUUUGGGAUUGCAGCUCUAAUUGGGUGGUAAAUUCCAUCUAAAGCAGAAUAUUGGUGGGAGACCGAUAGCGUACAAGUACCGUGAGGGAAAGAUGCAAAGAACUUUGAAAAGAGAGUUAAAGAGUACCUGAAAUUGCUGAAACGGAAGCGAAGGAAACCAGUGUUUGUUGGUCUUGUCAUACUUCCCUUGCUGCUUGCGGUUUGGGCGCUGUGGCUUGGCUGUUAGUCUGCCUUGGUUGGUUGUGGUGGAAGGGCGCCGUCAGAGUUGAUGACGUGUUGCCGUGCAUGACAUCUGACUGAGUUUGCAUACGAAAUGGUUUUCUUUACCCCGUCUUGAAACACGGACCAAGG